rnacentral:tRNA from 1 species
AUUUUCAUAGUUUAAUAAAAACAUAGUAUUUUCAUUACUAAAUUAGGAUAUUUUCUUGAAAAUA